AUUGAACGCUGGCGGCAGGCCUAACACAUGCAAGUCGAGCGAGCGGCGGACGGGUGAGUAAUGUAUGGGGACUGCCCGAUAGAGGGGGAUCACUACUGGAAACUGUGGCUAAUACCGCAUACUAUCGGAUAACCCAUAUGGGAUUAUCUGGUAGGGGGGGUAAAGGCUCACCUAGGCGACGAUCUCUAGCUGGUCUGAGAGGAUGAUCAGCCACCCUGGGACUGAGACACGGCCCAGGCUCCGUCGGAGGCAGGAGUGGGGAAUAUUGCACAAUGGGGGCAAGCCUGAUGCAGCCAUGCCGCGUGUAUGAAGAAGGCCUUAGGGUUGUAAAGUACUAGCAGCGGGGAGGCGAUACCGGCAGAAGAAGCACCGGCUAACUCCGUGCCAGCAGCCGCGGUAAUAC
rnacentral:rRNA from 1 species